AUUGAACGCUGGCGGCGUGCUUAACACAUGCAAGUCGUGCGAGAAAGGGGACUUCGGUCCCUGAGUAGAGCGGCGCACGGGUGAGUAACGCGUGGAUAAUCUCCCCAGAAGUUCGGGAUAACGGCGGGAAACUGCCGCUAAUACCGGAUACGCUCCAAUUUCGGUUGGGGGAAAGGCGGCCUCUGUUUACAAGCUGUCGCUUCUGGAUGAGUCCGCGUCCCAUUAGCUUGUUGGUGGGGUAAUGGCCUACCAAGGCUACGAUGGGUAGCUGGUCUGAGAGGAUGAUCAGCCACACUGGAACUGAAACACGGUCCAGACUCCUACGGGAGGCAGCAGUGGGGAAUAUUGCGCAAUGGGGGAAACCCUGACGCAGCGACGCCGUGUGAGGGAAGAAGGGCUUUCGGGUCGUAAACCUCUGUCGGGAGGAAGAACCUUCCAGGUCUGAACAAGGCUUGGAACUGACGGUACCUCCAAAGGAAGCACCGGCUAACUCCGUGCCAGCAGCCGCGGUAAAAGUACUCUA
rnacentral:rRNA from 1 species